GAAUUAUUUUCUCCUUUGCUUCUCUAAGUAUUAACAUUUGGAAUCCAGUCCCUUGACUUUGGGCUCCUAAGUUUACACCAGUAGCUCACGGAGAUCUGCAAUUCCCUAGAGUCAUCUCCUCUAUCUUAUGCACGAACAAGUGGCCAGAGAUGAGUACGUGCCUGGCUAAAAGCACUAAGGACCUGUGGUCAGAAUGCUUGAUGGCCAGAUCCCAGUUUGAGAUGUCUCUGGUGCUUCCUCGGUAUCUCUUCCACCAUAUGGGACACAUAGAUCUGAGUGUAUGCCGAGAGGAUGCAAUAACUAUUUCUAGUUUUCAAGCAAGACUGUUUCAUCCAGCGUGAGUGGAGAAAGUGACUUUCCUAAGGCCUACAUGGCAUAAGUGGUUCUGGCUUCAGAUGACACGGGACAGGAAUGCUCAAGGCGUGCUAAGGUACAGAGCUGUAACCAAAAAUGUUAAAUACUUAAACGAACACGCACAGGAAGUGAAGGAGAUGUUUCCGCGGUGAGCAGCUUGCAAAGAUACCCGGAGCACG
ensembl:lincRNA Gm13417 predicted gene 13417